UACGUAGGUGGCGAGCGUUGUCCGGAUUUACUGGGCGUAAAGAGCGCGCAGGCGGCUGGUCAAGUCCGAUGUGAAAGCUCCCGGCUUAACUGGGAAAUUGCAUCGGAAACUGAUCGGCUGGAAGGUGGGAGAGGGUAGCGGAAUUCCCGGUGUAGUGGUGAAAUGCGUAGAUAUCUGGAGGAAUACCGGUGGCGAAGGCGGCAUCCUGGACCGAGAUUGACACUGAGGAGCGAAAGCCAGGGGAGCAAACGGG
rnacentral:rRNA from 1 species